rnacentral:rRNA from 1 species
AUUGAACGCUGGCGGCAGGCUUAACACAUGCAAGUCGAGCGGGGGAAGGUAGCUUGCUACCGGACCUAGCGGCGGACGGGUGAGUAAUGCUUAGGAAUCUGCCUAUUAGUGGGGGACAACAUCUCGAAAGGGAUGCUAAUACCGCAUACGUCCUACGGGAGAAAGCAGGGGAUCUUCGGACCUUGCGCUAAUAGAUGAGCCUAAGUCGGAUUAGCUAGUUGGUGGGGUAAAGGCCUACCAAGGCGACGAUCUGUAGCGGGUCUGAGAGGAUGAGCCGCCACACUGGGACUGAGACACGGCCCAGACUCCUGCGGGAGGCAGCAGUGGGGAAUAUUGGACAAUGGGGGGAACCCUGAUCCAGCCAUGCCGCGUGUGUGAAGAAGGCCUUAUGGUUGUAAAGCACUUUAAGCGAGGAGGAGGCUACUCUAGUUAAUACCUAGGGAUAGUGGACGUUACUCGCAGAAUAAGCACCGGCUAACUCUGUGCCAGCCGCCGCCGUAA